UACAUGGGGUGCAAACGUUGCUCGGAAUUAUUGGGCGUAAAGCGCACGUAGGCGGUUCGUUAAGUCGGAUGUGAAAGCCCUCGGCUCAACUGAGGAAGUGCACCCGAAACUGGCGAGCUUGAGUACGAAAGAGGAUCGCGGAAUUCCCGGUGUAGAGGUGAAAUUCGUAGAUAUCGGGAGGAACACCGGCGGCGAAGGCGGCGAUCUGGGUCGAUACUGACGCUGAGGAGCGAAAGCGUGGGGAGCGAACAGG
rnacentral:rRNA from 1 species